AUUGAACGCUGGCGGCAUGCUUUACACAUGCAAGUCGAACGGUAACAGGCCGUAAGGUGCUGACGAGUGGCGAACGGGUGAGUAAUGCAUCGGAACGUGCCCAGUCGUGGGGGAUAACGCAGCGAAAGCUGCGCUAAUACCGCAUACGAUCUAUGGAUGAAAGCGGGGGACCGUAAGGCCUCGCGCGAUUGGAGCGGCCGAUGUAAGAUUAGGUAGUUGGUGGGGUAAAGGCUCACCAAGCCAACGAUCUGUAGCUGGUCUGAGAGGACGACCAGCCACACUGGGACUGAGACACGGCCCAGACUCCUACGGGAGGCAGCAGUGGGGAAUUUUGGACAAUGGGCGCAAGCCUGAUCCAGCAAUGCCGCGUGCAGGAAGAAGGCCUUCGGGUUGUAAACUGCUUUUGUACGGAACGAAACGGUCCUGGUUAAUACCUGGGGCUAAUGACGGUACCGUAAGAAUAAGCACCGGCUAACUACGUGCCAGCCGCCGCGGUAAAAC
rnacentral:rRNA from 1 species